UUGCUUUGGCAGUACAUAUACUAAAAUUGGAACAAUA
rnacentral:snRNA from 1 species